rnacentral:rRNA from 1 species
AGAGCUACGGCAGCCUACACAUGCAAGUCGAGGGGUAAGUUGCCUUCGGGCGACCUAGACCGGCGUACGGGUGCGUAACGCGUAUACAAUCUGCCUUACACACGGGGAUAGCCCGGAGAAAUCUGGAUCAAUACCCGAUGGUAUUAUUUUUAGGCAUCUUUAAAUAAUUAAAGCUUCGGUGGUGUAAGAUGAGUAUGCGUCCUAUUAGCUAGUUGGUGUGGUAACGGCAUACCAAGGCAACGAUAGGUAGGGGUCCUGAGAGGGAGAUCCCCCACACUGGUACUGAGACAGGGACCAGACUCCUACGGGAGGCAGCAGUGAGGAAUAUUGGUCAAUGGUCGGAAGACUGAACCAGCCAUGCCGCGUGUAGGAAGACUGCCUUAUGGGUUGUAAACUACUUUUGUAUGGGAAGAAUAAGGGUUAUGUAUAACUUGAUGACGGUACCAUACGAAUAAGCAUCGGCUAACUCCGUGCCAGCAGCCGCGGUAAU